rnacentral:rRNA from 1 species
AACGAACGCUGGCGGCAUGCCUAACACAUGCAAGUCGAACGAGACCUUCGGGUCUAGUGGCGCACGGGUGCGUAACGCGUGGGAACCUGCCCUUAGGUUCGGAAUAACUCCCCGAAAGGGGUGCUAAUACCGGAUAAUGUCUUCGGACCAAAGAUUUAUCGCCUUUGGAUGGGCCCGCGUUGGAUUAGCUAGUUGGUAGGGUAAAAGCCUACCAAGGCGACGAUCCAUAGCUGGUCUGAGAGGAUGAUCAGCCACACUGGGACUGAGACACGGCCCAGACUGGUGCGGGGGGCAGCGGUGGGGAGUAGCGGACGAUGGGCAGAAGCCGCGACGAGCAGUGUGGGGUGGGUGAUGAAGGCAUGAGGGUGAGAAAGCUUGUUUCGCGGGGAAGAAAAGGAAAGGACCGGGAAAAUACGCGCCGGCGAACGCCUGGCCAGCAGGAGGGUGAUUAAGAGAAGAGAAACCUCUUGAUC